CUCCAGCUCCAUCCCAAAGGCUGCUCGAGCUGUGGCUUGUAUGGAUGAUAAGAUCAGAUCAAGGGCAAGGUAUAGGUGGCAGCAGUAGAUUAACAAGAUCAGGUUUGGAUGGAAAUGGUCGCCGUAGUCGUAUACACGUAAUAGCAUCACAAAAAGCAAAGCUUUUGUGGGAUAGUUCAGCAGCAAGAUGGUUUUGGGUCUAAUGUUUUCAGGAUUUUGAGGAAGUGGGUUUUCUUUAUGAUGGCCAUUUUGAGGUGAGCGUGUGUGAUCUUUGGUGUUCUGUGUCCUCUGUGGUGAUUUCUUAAGGGGCGUCCGUUGGAUCUUGAUGGGUAAGCAAGCAAUUGCCAAGAAGCGUGGAAGAGAGAUUGGAGGAUCUGAAGAUAAAGGCCCUUUGCCAAAGGCAAAGAGGAGGAGCUUGGAGUUGCCAAGCCAUGAAAUGAUGAAGCUAGUUUGGCCUAUAAGAUUCACAGCUGAUAGAUUGAGAGGAAGAUAAAGAAAGAGAGCCACGACGGGAAGAAUCGGUAAGAGCCUUCUAGUGCCUUUUGGGAUGAUCCUGCCCACUAUGUAGCAAUAGCACAGAGACAUCAAAGCUGUGAUGCAUACCUUGAAGAAGUUGUAAAUCUCUCCUUCCAUGCACUCUCUCUCUCUCUCUCUCUCUCCCCCCUCCCUGUUCCUUAAUUUUCAGCUGCACUGUCUUUGGAUCUCUUCGCUGGACAGCUGAACAUGAUAGAGUUUUGCGCGAGUUUGAGAGUCAGAUAUUGACAAGAAGAGGUCAGUCGUAUCUUCAAUAAGCAAAGACCUAGUAAGCGGCUUGCCUGCUUCUUUUAUUUAUUGUUUCUCAUCUUAGCAAUGCUUAAAUGGACCUCUCUCUUUUUUUGUGCAGGAAUUAAAAAAUGGUCGGUACUUUAUUCAUUUUAUUGCCGCGUGAGAUGAACCGGCAAUUUUUUAUGUUGAAUCAACGACCUCAAAGCAUGUUAUGUGCGGCUGCUUUUGUAAUAGGGAAAAUGUCACAAAUGGUUUCUAUACUAUUACCUAAUGUGCAAUUUGGUCCCUGAACUUUCAAUCGGCUCAAUUUNNNNNNNNNNNNNNNNNNNNNNNNNNNNNNNNNNNNNNNNNNNNNNNNNNNNNNNNNNNNNNNNNNNNNNNNNNNNNNNNNNNNNNNNNNNNNNNNNNNNCCUUGUUCUCACUUAAUCGGACCUGCGGCUCCUUUGGAUGCUCAAAUUUAGAGGCUUAUUUUCUAACAUUGUCCCAAUUUGAGAAAAAUAGACAGCUCUAUUGGGAAUCAAAGUAUCAGACCAACUUGAUGUCGGAGGUUUGUUUGUCAAAACAAACUAAGUGUUUUUUCCUUGUCCCACAUAAGAAAAGUGGGAGGGAGUGGGCCAAUUUAAAAAUGUGAGAUUUCCUUUUUCUAGUUAAAGGAAUGAUUGGGUGAGGUUAGACCCAACCAUAUUCACAUGCGGGUGCGCAAAUAAUUGCAUGAUUAUUUGGCCCACUUAGCACGCCUGCAUGCUGCGGUUUAAUUAGCACUAAUCCAUUUGUUAUUUUUUUAUAUUUUUAAUUUUUAAUCAAUUCAAAGGUUGCUUUUUUAAUUUGAGAAUUUUCAUAAAUGAAAUAUAAAAUGAAAAUUCGAAAUUCUAUUUAAAAAAAGAACUAUUAUUCCUAAUUUUUAUUUGUGUUUUUUUUAUAUAAUUUUUGGAAAAUUACUUUUUCAGUUUGCAACUUUUCCCGAAGGGUUGCAAUUGUUCGGUUUUCGACUUCUUCUGAAGAGUCGCAUUUGUUUGUCCAAACAAUUUUUCUAAAUGACGUGUUUGUUCAUUUUUUGGCAAUUUUCAUGAAGAGUUGCAAGACUAUUUUAUAUAUAUACUCGUUAUUUUUUGGAAAAACAAGAGUGAUAAUUUUUCAUCUUUUUCGAGCUUUCUAUUUGAAAAAAACUACAGCUAUUCUUUCAAUUGUUUCCUAGAGAGACCCUGAAGAAAUACUAGAAUUGCUAUCUAGUAUUCUCAUUCGAGACUUUGUUGUAUCCUAGAGGAUUUUUGUCCGUGACCAUUAGCAACGUUAUGGAACAAAUAAAUCCUUAAAGAAAGUGAUAUCACGCCUCAAAGUCCAACUUGAAUACUCUGAAUAUCCAUCUUCAUUCUUUUACCCAAUUCGAAACCAUAUUUUCACAACACUUGAAUAUCAAUGGUUGCCAUCAUCUUGAAGAUUCGCCUAAAGAAAUCAAAGACCUUGUGAAUCUUCGGUGCUUGACUUUAGGGUGGUGUUGUUGAGUAAAGAAACUACAAGAUUCCAUAUGGAAAUUGAAAUUGUUACAUACGAUGUAGUUUUCGGCCGAGUAAUUUGAAUCAAAUUCAUCUUCAAACGAUGCAUGGCAGUUGCCUAUUGCAAUGGAAAUGCUCGAAGUCAUGACUCAAAAUUUGAAAGGUCAACUUCUCCAGAAUCGAAAGUUUUGCCCUUUUUUGAGAAUCUUAUACUUGUCGUGCCCUUGCAUCAGUGAAGUUCUAGCGAUAGAUAGUAUGCUUCCUUACCUGCAAACACCUGAGUUAAAAGUAUGCAACAAGAUUCAGGAUCUGCUGACACUUUUCGCAAGUUUAAACAAUCUACUAGUGUUGUCUAUAACAUUGCAAGUAGUCCUAGUUCUCUCGAAUUUGACUAGCUUGGUUCAGUUCGACCUAUCUAAUGGUUCUAGUUGGAGAGAAGGAAGCAAAAUUCGCCAGUUAGUAGGGUGGACUGGGAGGUUAUCCAGACUGAAUGAGCUGAGCUUGAAUCUUCUCAAUGUCCCUGCUCCUACUAAGUAGGCUUCCUUGGUUAAAGAAUCUUCAUUUGUCAAGGUUGGACCUGCGAAAACUUGUGCAACUUCCUCCACCUCUGUUAAAUUUAAGCCUUGACCACUUCAAUUCAACUGUGUCACUCUCAUCCAAAUUAGAAGAUUUGUGAAGUCUAGAGCUCCCACGGUCUCAAGUGCAAGAAGAAUACUCAACAGCCUUCAACUUCAAAAUUUAACAGAGUUGGUUCUGAAAAGCUGUCAAUCCUUUGAGAUAUUCAUACUAUCAAAAAUGAGGAAGCUCAAAACCAGUCCGAGUAGAAUAUUGCUCAGAGCUAGUUGAGAUCCAACUUGCCGGGCUGUAUGACUCAUUGGAAGCAUUUUCUAGCAUGUGGUGUGAGUCCUUGGGAAAGGUUAGCUUAUACGGGUGGAGUCUGCAAAUGAGUCGAUUAUUUGUGGAGGGACUCUAAUUUUUCUGUCGCGAGUACUAAAUAAGCUUAAAAAGUUUCUGCUUAGGGGUUGCCCGAAGAUACUCAAAUUCAAGAACUGGGUACAUUGGAAAAGGGGGAGGGUCGGACGUCUCGGAUUAUUGUUAGGCGGAAAGUGUUUGUGAUUGCGAUGGGCUGCAGGUUGUCGAGGACCUUGACAAGCUACAGUUUUUGAAUCAGUUAACCAUUCAUCGCUGCGGAUAAGUAAAAACGUAGAUCGAUGUAUCACGAACAGAAUUUCCUAAGGAUAGCAACAUAGAUAUCUUCGACUGCUAGAAAUUUGCUGAGGCUACAAUUCGAUGUCUCCAUCCAGUCUUGCGAACAUUAUAAGGUGAGUUGAACCUUCUCCUUUCUUUCUUUGUUUUUUCUACUCACCUUUUUUCUUGAUGGAUAGCAACGAUCGCCUAAUUCUGUCCCAGGUUGCUUACUCCCGUCUCUAUAUCACUUAUACAUAGCAAACAUUUGAUGUGCUAAAAUAUGAUCUGGUGUUGCCUUUCUACAUAGUUUAUAUGAGGCUUAUGUACACGUAUAGUCUAUCUCCAUCUAAUAACUUAUUCUAAUAUAGAUAACUGGAAAGAGAGAUUUGGUGUCUUAUGGAAUCUAAAUGAAAUGAUUCAGAAGGCCAUAGACAAUAGUGAACUCAACUUUUGAACACGGACAGAUCAGUUGUUCGGAACCCCGGUCUAGUGUGAGGUGGGGGGCAUCUUGGGUGAUCUCCUCAGCUGUUGGGCUUCGGGCUUUUACGGGUUUUGGGGAACCAUGGCGACCCCGAUUGUGGAAUUGUGCGCUCUUAGAGAGGGUCUGAGACUUGCUCUGCAAUGUCAUAUAUUCACAAUGAACUUGAUGCAAGAAAUCCUUCAUGACAGGUUUCUUAAUAAAACAACAUGUAAAAUUAGAAUCCGGAACCGCUCUUUUUGGAAUGAAGGACUAACUUCAGGAGCUUUACCCAAUACCAGACGGAGCGCAGAUUUUGAGGCAAAUCGCUGUGCUGAUUUCAUGGCAAAGAAGGGCUGCUUGCAAUAGGAUAAUCGUAAGAUCUUAGGGGAACCUCCAUUAGACAUUUUGAAGCUACUGGAGUUUGACUGUAGGUGCUGCUGUGUCCACGGAGCCGUUACAAUUUGCGUAGUACCUUAGUUUCUGCAUUUUACGACCACUGGGUCCUCAACCGCUGGUGGAGAAUGAAGAAAAGAAGAAGAGAAUGAUAAAGAUCAUCUUGUUUUGCCUGAAACAGAGAUGGUAAUGACAGAGCAGAAAAGAAAAUUGUUGCGGAAAUUUGCAUUAAGGAACGAGAAAGGCCUUAUUUCAAAUUUUAUCUGCCCUUUCUUCCAUCAAAUUUAGGCACAGAAUGUCUACUGGGUAACAUACCCAACGCCCUUAUUAAUCAGAAUCAUGAAAUGUCACAUCAAGACAUUCUACAAAAUCCAAGACAUCACAGCUCGACCGACAUCCUUAAGAAACUCGCCUGCAGCUGCAUACUCUUCCAACGCCUUCUUGAUGACACCAUCCCUCAGGAGCUGUGGAAAAAACAGCCAAGAUGCGGUCACCAUCACGAAUGUGACCGUCAUCAGACCCGUCAAAACCCUCGGCAACCGCCACUUCGUGCCACACUUCCUCUUCACCACCACCUCGAUCACCAAACAUGCCCCGUGGAGCACGAAAAACCACAUGACCUCCCAAGUAGGCUUCACGCGUCCCAUGUGGAAAAACAUCAGCUCGUGCAUGAGCCCAGAUACCAGGAAGGAGGCCAUCACUGCUGGCAGCGCCGCCCACUUGCGCCCGAUUGCCGCCGACGCGGCAUAGUGGACUGGUUCAUAUAUGGUCACUCGCAGGAUGUUGGUGACCAUGAGGUUCCACCGCUUGCCCCAGAAGUCUUGAAGUGAAGACGAGAGGUACGGCUCACGGAACUGCGGCUCCAGCUCCAUCCCAAAGGCUGCUCGAGCUGUGGCUUGUAUGGAUGAUAAGAUCAGAUCAAGGGCAAGGUAUAGGUGGCAGCUGUAGAUUAACAAGAUCAGGUUUGGAUGGAAAUGGUCGCCGUAGUCGUAUACACGUAAUAGCAUCACAAAAAGCAAAGCUUUUGUGGGAUAGUUCAGCAGCAAGAUGGUUUUGGGUCUAAUGUUUUCAGGAUUUUGAGGAAGUGGGUUUUCUUUAUGAUGGCCAUUU
rnacentral:lncRNA from 1 species